GACGUAGGGCGCGAGCGUUGUCCGGAUUUAUUGGGCGUAAAGAGCUCGUAGGCGGCUCGGUAAGUCGGGUGUGAAACCCCCAGGCUCAACCUGGGGACGCCACCCGAUACUGCUGUGGCUAGAGUCCAGUAGGGGAGUGUGGAAUUCCCGGUGUAGCGGUGAAAUGCGCAGAUAUCGGGAGGAACACCAGCGGCGAAGGCGGCACUCUGGGCUGGAACUGACGCUGAGGAGCGAAAGCGUGGGUAGCAAACAGG
rnacentral:rRNA from 1 species